AUAAUAACUAUUUAUUUAUAGAUUUUUUAAUGUAUUCAUCUUUCUUUUUUAUACUGAGUUCUUAUAUACUGAGUACCUAAACAUUUCAUAUAAAUUUGUAUUUUAAGAACUUUAUCAUCGAAAUCAUGACUCUGACUCAGAAUAGAAAAUCAUACAUGCCCCCACAUAUUUCUGUAUUCAUACAGUUAUUUACUCUCAAUUUAUUCAACCAGUAACUGUCUAGUACCCACUAUGUAGAAGUAAAACAUGAACUUUUCUUAAACAUCUUAUGUGCCAUCACAUACAUGAGAAAGUCUGUCCUGGGUAAUUACAAAACAAAUAUAAAGCAUGCCGUGUUCUAGCAAAAGGCACUGAUCAUGUGAAACUUAAAACCUGAA
rnacentral:lncRNA from 1 species